rnacentral:rRNA from 1 species
CCCUUAGAUGUUCUGGGCCGCACGCGCGCUACACUGAUGCAUUCAACGAGCCUAGCCUUGACCGAGAGGUCCGGGUAAUCUUUGAAACUGCAUCGUGAUGGGGCUAGAUUAUUGCAAUUAUUAAUCUUCAACGAGGAAUGCCUAGUAGGCGCAAGUCAUCAGCUUGCGUCGAUUACGUCCCUGCCCUUUGUACACACCGCCCGUCGCUCCUACCGAUUGGGUGUGCUGGUGAAAUGUUCGGAUCGGCCGUUUGUCGCGGUUUCCGCGUCAUGUGGCUGAGAAGUUCAUUAAACCCUCCCACCUAGAGGAAGGAGAAGUCGUAACA